UAUCCAAAACUUGUCCACUUGUCU
rnacentral:siRNA from 1 species